rnacentral:rRNA from 1 species
AGUGAACGCUGGCGGCAUGCCUAACACAUGCAAGUCGAACGGCAGCACAGGAGAGCGUGCUCUCGGGGUGGCGAGGGGCGGAUGGGUGAGGAGUACAUCGGAAUCUGCUGUGUCGUGGGGAACAACGUAGGGAAACUUACGCUAAUACCGCAUAGGACCUACGGGUGAUAGCAGGGGCUCUCCGGACAUUGCGCGAGCGAAUGAGACGGUGUCGGAUUAGCUAGUUGGCGGGGUAAAGGCCCACCAAGGCGACGAUCCGUAGCUGGUCUGAGAGGAUGAUAGGCCACACUGGAACUGAGACACGGCCCAGACUCCUACGGGAGGCAGCAGUGGGGAAUAUUGGGCAAUGGGGGCAAGCCUGAUCCAGCCAUACCGCGUGGGUGAAGAAGGCCUUCGGGUUGUAAAGCCCUUUUGUUGGGAAAGAAAACCAGCUGGCUAAUACCCGGUUAGGAUGACGGUACCCAAAGAAUAAGCACCGGCUAACUACGUGCCAGCAGCCGCCGUAAAAC